rnacentral:rRNA from 1 species
AUGCGUAUGUUGAGAUGGAUGUGUGGCCACACGAGGAAGGAUCGAGUCCGGAAUGAUGAUAUACGAGAUAGAGUUGGGGUAGCACCAAUUGAGGAGAAGCUUGCCCAACAUCGUUUGAGAUGGUUUGGGCAUAUUCAGCGCAGGCCUCCAGAAGCUCUAGUGCAUAGCGGACGGCUAAAGCGUGCGGAGAAUGUCAAGAGAGGGCGGGGUCGACCGAUUUUGACAUGGGAGGUGUCCGUUAAGAGAGACCUGAAGGAUUGGAGUAUCGACAAAGAGCUAGCUAUGGACAGGGGUGCGUGGAAGCUUGCUAUCCAUGUGCCAGAGCCAUGA